CCUACGGGUGGCAGCAGUGGGGAAUAUUGCACAAUGGGGUAAACCCUGAUGCAGCGACGCCGCGUGAGCGAUGAAGUAUUUCGGUAUGUAAAGCUCUAUCAGCAGGGAAGAAGAUGACGGUACCUGACUAAGAAGCCCCGGCUAACGCCGUGCCAGCAGCCGCGGUAAUACGCAGGGGGCAAGGGGUGUCCGGAUGUACUGGGUGGAAAGGGAGCGUAGACGGCGAUGCAAGCCAGAUGUGAAAGCCCGGGGCUCAACCCCGGGACUGCAUUUGGAACUGGGUGGCUGGAGUGUCGGAGAGGCAGGCGGAAUUCCUAGUGUAGCGGUGAAAUGCGUAGAUAUUAGGAGGAACACCAGUGGCGAAGGCGGCCUGCUGGACGAUGACUGACGUUGAGGCUCGAAAGCGUGGGGAGCAAACAGGAUUAGAUACCCGAGUAGUC
rnacentral:rRNA from 1 species